rnacentral:rRNA from 1 species
UGAGUACGAGAUGCUACGGCAUCGAAGCAGUCUAUGUCAUACUUCCAAGAAAAGCUUGCAAUGUCAUAAACAAAUAAUGCCUGUACCAUAACCGACACAGGUGGGUAGGUAGAGUAUACUAAGGGGCGCGAGAUAACUCUCUCUAAGGAACUCGGCAAAAUGACUCCGUAACUUCGGGAGAAGGGGUGCCUUAUUUUUAUAAGGUUGCAAUAACAAGAUCCAAGCAACUGUUUACCAAAAACACAGGUCUCCGCUAAGUCGUAAGACGAUGUAUGGGGGCUGACGCCUGCCCAGUGCCAGAAGGUUAAAGAAGUUGGUUAGCAUUAGCGAAGCUGAUAACUGAAGCCCUGGUGAACGGCGGCCGUAACAAUAACGGUCCUAAGGUAGCGAAAUUCCUUGUCGGGUAAGUUCCGACCCGCACGAAAGGCGUAAUGAUUUGGAUACUGUCUCGGAGAGGGGCUCGGUGAAAUAGACUUGUCUGUGAAGAUGCGGACUACCUGCACCUGGACAGAAAGACCCUAUGAAGCUUUACUGUAACUUGAGAUUGAAAUUGGACUUUAUCUGCGCAGUAUAGGUGGGAGACGUUGAAAAUAUUCUUGCGGGAAUAUUGGAGUCAUCAGUGAGAUACCACUCUUAUAAUGUUAGAUUUCUAACUUUGUAUCAUUAUCUGGUCAAAGAACAGUUUCAGGCGGGCAGUUUGACUGGGGCGGUCGCCUCCCAAACGGUAACGGAGGCGCACAAAGGUUUCCUCUGAACGUGUAGAAAUCGUAUCUAGAGUGUAAAGGCAUAAGGAAGCUUGACUGUGAGACCUACAAGUCGAGCAGGGGCGAAAGUCGGUCUUAGUGAUCUGACGGUGCUGAGUGGAAAGGCCGUCACUCAACGGAUAAAGGUUACUCUAGGAUAACAGGCUGAUCUCCCCCAAGAGUUCACAUCGACGGGGAGGUUUGGCACCUCGAUGUCGGCUCAUCGCAUCCUGGGGCGGUAGUACGUCCCAAGGGUUGGGCUGUUCGCCCAUGAAAGCGGUACGCGAGCUGGGUUCAGAACGUCGUGAGACAGUUCGGUCCAUAUCCGGUGUAGGCGUUAGAAUAUUGAGAGGAGCCUUCUUUAGUACGAGAGGACCGAGAAGGACAUACCUCUGGUGUACCAGUUAUCGUGCCAACGGUAAACGCUGGGUAGCCAUGUAUGGAGAGGAUAACCGCUGAAAGCAUCUAAGUGGGAAGCCCACCUCAAGAUAAGUAUUC